UUUUUUUAAUCCUAGCACCAAGUGCUUAACCUCAUUGGGGUGGAGGAGAAGGCGGCGGCUGUCUGGUCCGCAGCGGCAACAGUAGCGCAAGAUGGGGCUAAUGGACUGCUGAAUUAUGAAGUAUUUCAGACCCAAUAGUAGAAUGUCACUCUGCCACUCACUCCUUUAUCUCCUACUAGUUAUUUAAAUUGGACUUUUAAUAUCCUACCAGCUGCUCUUCAGACACACAUGGUGCAUUGUUGCCAUUCCCCGGAUUGCAUCUUUGAAACACAGGCUCUUAGUAACCUUCAGCGAACAAAGAGGCAACCUCUCAGAUACAUCUACUGGGAGGAAGUCAUCCUGACUGCCCUCUAGCUUUUGCUGAAUCUGGAUUUGAAUUCUACCAUGGAGCCUCGCAUGGAGUCCUGCCUGGCACAGGUGUUACAGAAGGAUGUGGGGAAACGACUGCAAGUUGGCCAAGAACUUAUAGACUAUUUCUCAGACAAACAGAAGUCUGCUGACCUUGAACAUGAUCAGACCAUGUUAGAUAAACUUGUGGAUGGACUCGCUACCUCUUGGGUGAACUCUAGCAAUUACAAGAUGGAGCUUAGAGCUUGGAACAUGAUAAGUGCUCAACAAACACUGGUUCCACGAGUGAACAUCUAGAGACUGCUCAGCAAGUAUUGCUGGUUGCUAUACUGAAAUCUAGAGACUUAUCUUUUAAGCCCUACACCCUUUUUUUCUUAAUUGUAGAUCAAGAUUUCUCAUUCAGAGCCUGUGGUAUAUUUUGGGCUUUAUUUGACAUUUUUUAUAUGGUGUGGUUGAAGGAAUUAGCUUUAUAUUAAACAAAACUUUGAACCUUGGCUUCUUGAUUUUUUUUUUUUUAAUUAAGGGCUAAAAAAAUCAUAGGAGAAAGGAGAAGUAAUUUUGGCUUCCAAAACAGUAGUACUUGUGUGUUAUUAUUCCUUUUCUUAACAGAGAAGGUUGAUAAAUGCCGGUACAGUAUCUUAUUUUUAAAAAUAUUUGUCUAGACCUUGAAUAACUGUACAUUGAGUAUUUCUUAACAUAAUAGGCAAAUUUAUAUGUGGUAUUAAUUGCAGUUUAAUGGCUACCAUUUAUUGCUUACUUUCUAUUGGGUAUAUUAUUUGCCUUAUCUCAUUUAGUCUGUAUAACACCCCUGUGAAGUAGAUAGUAAUAUCCUAAUUUUGUACAAGAAGUAACUGAGGCCCAGAAAUAUGAGGUAAUUUCUACUAGUGAUUAUGGAACUGGAUUUAAAUAUAGGUCUCUCUGAUUUCCUAGCCGGUAUUCCUCUCAUAGGAACAGAGAUCAGUAAACUUUUUCUUAAAGGCCAGAUAGUAAAUCUUUUAGACUUUGUGGGCCAUAUGUUUUGCUUGUAAAUAUCAACUAAUCUGGGCCCUUGUAUUGCAAAAGCAGCCACAGACAAUACAUGAUGAAUGGGUUUGGCUGUGUUCCAAUAAAACUUGAUUUACAGAGACAGGUUGAGGACCACUUUCACCCUUGGACCAUAGUUUGCAUACCCCUGUACCAGAACAUUGAAUACUCGCUAUGUGCCAGUUAGGUAAACACUUUUUUCGUUUUUUUUUUUUUUUUUGA